rnacentral:lncRNA from 1 species
GUCCUAGGCCAGAAGCCUUCAGUGGGAACCAUGGUGAGCUUAGGGUUUAAACCCCAGGAUUGAUCAUGGGUGAAUCAACUUCCUGUUUUGAGAUAUCUGUUUCCUUCAUUCUUUUUCUUCACUCUUUUAUUAGUGCACAUUGGUCAUACAUGAUAUGGGGUUCAUUUUGGUACAUUUGUACAAGCAUAUAACAUACUUGGUAACAUCUCCCCUAUUACCUCACUUCUCAGCCUCCCCAUCUGUUUUCUCAUCUGUAGAAGGAGAAAAAUGUCAUCCUUACCAAAUCAUCAGAUGAGAUUCGAAAUACUGAAAGUAUUUUGCCAAUACUCUGGCACUUUAUGAACCUUGAUCAUUUUGGUGAUUUUCAUUCCCACGGGGCAUUCUUAAUCGAUCAAUUCAUUCAGUCAUUCCACAGAUGGAUAUAAAGCUCAUUCUAGUUCUUCCCAUAAGGCAGUUUCUGUAACCUCCAAGAGUAUCACAUUUUGCAGCUGUGCAGUGGGCAAACAGUAGCUUCAAAGUGCAAUUUCUUUUUUUUGUAGUGAGGAUUGAACCCAGGGGGUGCUGAGCUACAUUUACAGCCCUUUUUACUUUACGUUGAGACUGGUCUAACCAAAUUGCCAAGCCUGGAUUCGAACUUGAGAUGCUCCUAGCUCAGCCUCUGACUAGUAGAAGCAAGAGCAACCAAAGAGUGACUCUGAAGACCCAGCGGGAUACUAAACAUAAAUGCAUACAGCAGUCCCAGCGGAGAGCCCCUGCUCACCCAACGGGAGUCAUGAAAGUUGAUAUAAAUCUUCAGAAAGUGGACAUUGACCAAUGUUCAAGUGAUGGCUGGUUUUCAGGAACUCACAAAUGCCACCUUAACAGUUCAGAGUGCAUGCCGAUUAAAGGCCUGGGGUUUGUCCUGGGAGCCUACGAGUGCAUCUGCAAGGCGGGCUUCUAUCACCCUCGGGUCUUGGUGAACAACUUUCACAGUAAGUGUGCUUCGUUUCUGUGCAUGUGAGCGUACACACCUAACACAUACCACCGACCACCGU